rnacentral:tRNA from 1 species
GCCUGGGUGGUUCAGUCGGUUGAGUGUCUGACUUCAGCUCAGGUCAUGAUCUCACAGUUUGUGGGUUUGAGCCCCACGUCAGGCU